rnacentral:rRNA from 1 species
AGGCGAUGAAGGACGUACUAGACUGCGAUAAGCUACGGGGAGCUGUCAAGAAGCUUUGAUCCGUAGAUUUCCGAAUGGGGCAACCCAAUGCAUAGAGAUAUGCAUUACCUUAAAUGGAGCGAACCUAGGGAAGUGAAACAUCUCAGUACCUAGAGGAAAAGAAAUCAAACGAGAUUCUCCUAGUAGCGGCGAGCGAACGGGGAAGAGGGCAAACCGAAUGCUUGCAUUCGGGGUUGAGGACUGCAACAUCCACUGAAAUAAUCUAGUAGAACAAUCUGGAAAGUUUGGCGACACAGGGUGAUAGCCCCGUAUACGAAAGAUUAUUUCUAGGUAGCAGGAUCCAGAGUAGGCCAGGACACGUGAAAUCCGGGCUGAAGCAGGGGAGACCACUCUCCAACCCUAAAUACUACUCUUUGACCGAUAGCGAACAAGUACCGUGAGGGAAAGGUGAAAAGAACCGCAGUGAGCGGAGUGAAAUAGAACCUGAAACCAUCUGCCUACAAUCAUUCGGAGCCCUAUGAUUUAUAUCAGGGUGACGGACUGCCUUUUGCAUAAUGAUCCUGCGAGUUGUGGUAUCUGGCGAGGUUAAGCAAACGCGAAGCCGUAGCGAAAGCGAGUCUGAAAGGGCGCUUAGUCAGAUGCUGCAGACCCGAAGCUGAGUGAUCUAUCCAUGGCCAAGUUGAAGUAAGUGUAAUAGCUUAUGGAGGACUGAACUCGUACCCAUUGAAACGGGUUGGGAUGAGCUGUGGAUAGGGGUGAAAGGCCAAACAAACUCAGUGAUAGCUGGUUCUCUCCGAAAUAUAUUUAGGUAUAGCCUCAAGUGAUAGUAAUAGGGGGUAGAGCUCUGAUUGGGCUAGGGCUGCUCACCGCGGUACCAAACCCUGUCAAACUUCGAAUACCUAUUACCGUAUCUUGGGAGUCAGGCGGUGGGUGAUAAAAUCAAUCGUCAAGAGGGGAACAACCCAGACUACCAACUAAGGUCCCAAAGUUCUAUUCUGAGUGGAAAAAGAUGUACAGUUACUUAGACAACCAGGAGGUUGGCUUAGAAGCAGCCAUCCUUUAAAGAAAGCGUAACAGCUCACUGGUCUAGUGAUUGCGCGCUGAAAAUAUAACGGGGCUAAGAUAGACACCGAAGUUGUAGAUUACACGGCACAAUUUAGAUUAUCUAGUUGUGUCAAACUUAAAAAAUUUAGAGUUUUAUUUUUAUUUGAUUUUGAAAUCUUUUUCUUGUUCAAAAGAAGUCAAAGAAAAAGGAUCAGUAAAAAAUCAAAUAAAAAUUUGAUGCUCAAGAUAGUUUAAAUUGUGCCGUGUAGUGGUAGGAGAGCGUUCGUAUCAGCGUUGAAGGUAUACCGGCAAGGAGUGCUGGAGCGAUGCGAAGUGAGCAUGCAGGAAUGAGUAGCGAUAAAAUAUGUGAGAAUCAUAUUCGCCGUAAGUCUAAGGUUUCCUACGCGAUGCUCGUCAUCGUAGGGUUAGUCGGGUCCUAAGCCGAGUCCGAAAGGGGUAGGCGAUGGCAAAUAGGUUAAUAUUCCUAUACCAACAUUAGUGUGCGAUGGAGGGACGCAUAGGGUUAGGUGAGCCAACUGAUGGAAUAGUUGGUCGAAAGGUGUAAGUUGGGAGAGAGGCAAAUCCGCUCCUGUAUCACAAACCUGACAGGCUCUUUGAAGUCUUCGGAUGGAAGAGAGAAUCACUGAUCCCGUCGUGCCAAGAAAAGCUUCUAAGUUUAGCUAAUGUUGCCCGUACCGCAAACCGACACAGGUAGAUGAGAUGAGUAUUCUAAGGCGCGUGAAAGAACUCUGGUUAAGGAACUCUGCAAACUAGCACCGUAAGUUCGCGAUAAGGUGUGCCACAGCAAUGUGGUCUCAGCAAAGAGUCCCUCCCGACUGUUUACCAAAAACACAGCACUUUGCAAACUCGUAAGAGGAAGUAUAAGGUGUGACGCCUGCCCGGUGCUCGAAGGUUAAGAGGAUUAGUCAGCCGCAAGGUGAAGCUUUGAAUUGAAGCCCGAGUAAACGGCGGCCGUAACUAUAACGGUCCUAAGGUAGCGAAAUUCCUUGUCGGUUAAAUACCGACCUGCAUGAAUGGCGUAACGAGAUGGGAGCUGUCUCAACCAGGGAUUCAGUGAAAUUGUAGUGGAGGUGAAAAUUCCUCCUACCCGCGGCAAGACGGAAAGACCCCGUGGACCUUUACUACAGCUUGACACUGCCGAUGGGAGCAUUAUGCGCAGGAUAGGUGGGAGGCUUUGAAAUCUUCACUCCGGUGGAGAUGGAGCCAUCCUUGAGAUACCACCCUUAAUGUUUCUGUCUGCUAACUGGCUUGAGUUAUCCUCAAGCAGGACAAUGUCUGGUGGGUAGUUUGACUGGGGCGGUCGCCUCCUAAAAAGUAACGGAGGCUUGCAAAGGUUGGCUCAUUGCGGUUGGAAAUCGCAAGUUGAGUGUAAUGGCAUAAGCCAGCCUGACUGUAAGACAAACAAGUCGAGCAGAGACGAAAGUCGGUCAUAGUGAUCCGGUGGUUCUGUGUGGAAGGGCCAUCGCUCAAAGGAUAAAAGGUACCCCGGGGAUAACAGGCUGAUCUCCCCCAAGAGCUCACAUCGACGGGGAGGUUUGGCACCUCGAUGUCGGCUCAUCGCAUCCUGGGGCUGGAGCAGGUCCCAAGGGUAUGGCUGUUCGCCAUUUAAAGCGGUACGCGAGCUGGGUUCAGAACGUCGUGAGACAGUUCGGUCCGUAUCUGCCGUGGGCGUAGGAAAGU